GUUUAAUAAAACCUUAUCAUUCUAAUCCUAUCCUAAUCCUAAAGAGCAAAUCGUCAUCUUCAUAAACUUUUCAGUUAUCACUUUUCUUCUCUCUUCCUAAAACGCAGAGACAUAGAUGGAAACAAAUUUGAUCGGCAGUUCGGCUCAAAUCAAUCGAUAAAGAAGCUUCCUCUCUUUUUUUCUCUCUUUCUCUCGUUCUUAAACAAGGUGGGCAGUUCACAGAUCAAUCGAUGAGAAGCUUGCUCUCCAAAUUGGGAGAAAAAACCAGGAUCUGUCACUGAAAAUGGUGGGUUUUGUACAACUUGUCCUAUUCGAUCUCACUCCAUUACGCCGGAGUCCCACACUGAGUUAAUGAAGCCGGAGAGCAAGGUCAACAUAACUCAGCAAAUUGGGAGGAAAUUGAGAAUGAACAAAGGAGAAUACAAGUUCCAGGUUACUGAGAAGGGAGCCCGAAGGCCCAGUAAGACCGGCCGGUUCUUGUCUGUCCGGGUUUUCGCCGGUCCCGGAAAUUUUCAGAGGAAAGACCGGCCCGUUUGACUAGUGACCGGUUCGGGCCCGUUCCUUCAAAAAACAGUACCGGUCUGGGACCAUGGCCAGCCCUAGUCUUUGGACCUGUUUUAACCGGUUUGGUUAUCCGGACCGAAUUUUCGGGCAGCUUUAUCAGUUUUCGGUUGAAAACCAUAUUUAAGCCCACCCUUACCAAAAAUUGUUCUUUUAUAAAUCAGUGAGUGUUAAUUU